rnacentral:lncRNA from 1 species
AUGUGUCUUCCGCUGCAAGGUCAGUCCUCAAUGUCCGCCAUCAUAUUUCUGUCUAGCACUGGCGUAAACAGCUUGUGUCUUUUGCUGCACGCUGUUCCAAUCCAAGAAAAUCGAUGGACAGAGAGCAGCGAAGGACAUCCGUCCAAUUGUCUUCACGUGAUGAAUUUGUCUCAAAUUGAAUUCAAAUAUAAAGUGCAUUUAAAAAAUACCAGCAGGAAAGAGAAGGGAAAAACCGGUGUGAUUAUUUGACUCUCAGAGACUUGGCAAGUUCCUUCUUUUUUUUUUGUAAUUACAUUUGAGGCACCUCUCAAACCGAAACCCAACAAAAAAAAACAAAAAAAGAAUUACACUUAUGGAACACAUCUUUACAUUUCUCAUGAAUAGUAUCUACUUAAUUACAUUGGCAAAUAUACGCUGACUUCUUUUAAAACACCCCGUCUGGCAUCAUAGUAGUUCGGCGUAAAAACGUCAAGGAAAUGAACGCCUCCGUUUUUAUUAAGUCUCACUCGUCUGACAGAACUCAAGUCAGACGAAACAUCUAAAUCACUUGCAUGACCUGAACUCUAAUUUCAUCCAAUCAGGUUUUAACCACCAGAAAAAAAAAAAAAAAAAAAAGAGAUAUUCGCCUCUUGUGCGAGGCAGCCUGAAGAGCGAGCUCUCCGACGGGCUCUUUGGCUGCUUCUGGUCGCUCCAUUUCCAGUCCCUAGAAAAUCAAAUGCAGUUUUCUGAUUGUCCGUUUAGAGCCACAUCUUUACGUCGGAGGGUAACUUUUUUUGUGUUGUUUUGAUGCGCAAAAACAAUGAGAAGCGUUAUGGAUCCACAUCUUCUAGAUCACUUCGAGAAUCACCCAACAUCAUUGGGGAUUCGGACCCCUGAGAGAAAGAGAGGGAGAAAUGGUGAAAGAGUAAAUGUAAUUAUUUAUGAAACACUAGUGUAUUUUAUCAUAUCGCUGUUGACACUGUUUUAUGAUAUAACUGAUGAUGGACUGCUGAAUUAAUGACAGACAGAGCUCUACCUGUCUGAGGCUUCUGUCCGAGUUCUCAUUGGCCGGGCUGCCGUCUGAACCAUUACUGCUGCCGGACUGCUCCUUCUCAUUCAGUAAAGCUGUGGCAUAAGCUAGAGUGUCCUAAACACAAAAAAACAGCAUUCACUGAACUUAUCUAAACAGUCAAUGGGAGCUCUGUGCUUUCAGAAGAAAAACCUUUCUCAAAAGUUUUCAACUUUAAAUACAUAAUGAGUUUAUUCUGGUAAUGCAUAACGUAAAAAAGUGUGAGUGCCAUACCUGUGCUGAGAUGGUGCGCUGGAAGGUUUUAGCUGUGGACGUCUCGUUCGAUACGUUACUCUGAGGCGUCCAGUAGUGCUCAGACAUCUGAAAGAGGAGAGAAGGGGAAUUCAAUAAUGGAUGCUCUUUCACAACAAAGAAGUACUGGAGUGUGUGCAUGGGUAUGUGUAUCUGUGGUCUCUUGCCUUCUUCUGAAGCCACUGCACUGCCCAACUCCAAUGUCCUGAGAGCUCUUUAAAAUAGUCCUUAGCUGGAGAACAUCUAACAGAAAUACAAAGACAUUUAACAAUGCUGCCAGAAACACUGACAGUUCAUUAAUCACAUUAGAUCAAAGAAUACAUAAUUUAUCGCUGACCAUAAUAGUAUCAGCCAUCUAAAUCUAUCUAUCUAUCUAUCUAUCUAUCUAUCUAUCUAUCUAUCUAUCUAUCUAUCUAUCUAUCUAUCUAUCUAUCUAUCUAUCUAUCUAUCUAUCUAUCUAUCUAUCUAUCUAUCUAUCUAAUGUGUAAUCCCUAAAUUGGAUACCCCGUGUUCUACACUCACUUCUGUGCCAGCGUGACCAGGAACUUCACACACUGAUAGCAGUCGACUGCUUGUUCCACAUUGUUGCUCUGAUGCAUUCAAAGCUGUGAAAGUACGAGAAACACAUAUCAGUUACAAAUUUAAUUUAAUCUUACAACUACUCACACUGAUAGAGCCAAGUGACAUGGUUCUUACCCAGAAGGCCCUUUUCAGAUUCAAAUGCAUAUUUGAGCCUCCUGAGACUGCAGAGGGUCCUCUACCGUCUGAGAGGAGAAAAUAAGAAAAUAAGGGCGUUGCAUAUUUACAUCCUACCCAAAAACUUUUUAAGACAGCACACUGACAGUUCAUUAAUCACAUUAGAUCAAAGAAUACAUAAUUUAUCGCUGACCAUAAUAGUAUCAGCCAUCUAAAUCUAUCUAUCUAUCUAUCUAUCUAUCUAUCUAUCUAUCUAUCUAUCUAUCUAUCUAUCUAUCUAUCUAUCUAUCUAUCUAUCUAUCUAUCUAUCUAUCUAUCUAUCUAUCUAUCUAUCAAAUAUUGGCCAAUAACCAAAAUGGCACAAUACAAUUGUAUUAUAUACAUUUACAUUCAAUUACGUCAAUAUCCAUAUUGUGUAUCCCUAAUUGGAUCCCCGUGUUCUACACUCACUUCUGUGCCAGCGUGACCAGGAACUUCACACACUGAUAGCAGCGACUGCUGUCCACAUUGUUGCUCUGAUGCAUCAAAGCUGUGAAAGUACGAGAAACACAUAUCAGUACAAAUUAAUUUAAUCUUACAACUACUCACACUGAUAGAGCCAAGUGACAUGGUUCUUACCCAGAAGGCCCUUUUCAGAUUCAAAUGCAUAUUUGAGCCUCUGAGACUGCAGAGGGUCCUCUACCGUCUGAGAGGAGAAAAUAAG